AGGUGCGAUCAUACCAGCACUAAUGCACCGGAUCCCAUCAGAACUCCGCAGUCAAGCGUGCUUGGGCGAGAGUAGUACUAGGAUGUGUGACCUCCUGGGAAGUCCUCGUGUUGCACUUC
rfam:Phaseolus vulgaris cultivar G19833 chromosome 6, whole genome shotgun sequence.